ACUCCCAGCUGCCCAGCCUGCAACUAGAGCUCAGCCACUGCAGGUGACAGCAACGGGACCCGCCUUUGAGCCUGAGGCCAGGACUGACGCCACAGCCUGCAGCUCCUCCCCAAGCCCAGCCCCAGCCCUUGCCCUUCAAUCCUGAGACCCUGAGAUGCAUGGGUGGGGCUUUCAUCCGGUGAGGAGCGGAGGCCCAGGGAGGUGGGUUCCCCAGCUGCCAGUACCCACUGGUCAGGCUGGGCUGGACCAGGUCCUGAAUCCCCGCCCUUCCACCCAUGGGCUCCCCAGGAAGGCUAAACUGAGGGAAGAAUUCCUGCUGGGAAAGCCCUGUUCUGGGACCAGGGUUUCGUCCCUCUAUUAGAGGGGGUCAGGGGGACACCUGGGAGCGGAACACCUGAGGGAGGAGCACCUGGCGGGGAGCCUUGGGGGAGGAGGCACCUGGGGGAGGAAGUCUGGAGGAGGGGUCUCCUGGUGGGGGGCCUGGAGGAGGGGUCUCCUGGGGGAGGGGCCUGGAGGAGGGGUCUCCUGGGGGAGGGGCCUGGAGGAGGGGUCUCCUGGGGGAGGGGCCUGGAGGAGGGGUCUCCUGGGGGGGGGCCUGGAGGAGGGGUCUCCUGGGGGAGGGGCCUGGAGGAGGGGUCUCCUGGGGGAGGGGCCCUUGGGGAGCCAACCCUAGUCAGUACGAGGUCCUGGGUGCAAAGUGGGUUGUGCGGCAGGGGGCUUGGGGCCUCAGCGGGGCUGCCCGGAGCUGGUCCUGGGCCUCUCUUGCUCUGGGUCUCCCCUGCUCUGGGUCCAGCCUCCCAAGCACCCCACCUGGCAAGACUUCCUCGCUCAGAACAGAGCCAACCCUGGCUGUCUUCCCAGGGUUUGUCGUGGAGAGGGCUCUGGCCCUUUAGCCUUCCAAGGAGCUUUCGGGGUUGGGGUACGUUUGUGACCCCAGUAGCCGCUGUGCUGGGGGCCCAGGGCAACUCCUCCGGGAGCAGGGAAGGCACUGCUGGCACCACCAGCCCCGCAGGGUCACCAGCAUCCCGUCUCCACCAGGGCUGCUGCUGUCCCUCCUCUGCUGAGGCCAGCUGUUACCGUGUUCGACAUGGACCAGGCCGUGUGGGAGGACACGGGGUGGCAGGUGCAGGGAGCACGGUCUGUUUUCUGUCACUCUCUGGUCCCAGCCUGAGCCCCAAUCCCUACCUCUGAGGGUCACACUUCCAACCCACCCCAGACAGAGCUGGAAGCAGGGGCUGGCAUGGGCGCUGGGGUAGACGCAGGGGUUGUCGUGGCCUGGCGUGGAAGAGCUGGGCUGGACGCAGUGGGUGGCGUGGCCUGGGGUGCUGCUCUCCAGCCUUCUUUCUCUUCUUCCUCUUCCUCUUGUUCUUCAUCUUCCUCCUCUUGCUGCAGAUCCUCCCCCAGGUGGCUCCAUUUCUGCUGGUCCCAUCUCCCGGAGGCCCUGCCCACAACCCCCUGCCCGCCAUCUAGGGGGACCCUGGCGUGGUCCAGGAGAGGGAGUCAAGGCCUGUGUGGGGCUCCUGGGGCUGGAGUCCUGGUCUGCCUUCUGGGGACAGAGACUAGGUCGCCCUGGGCUCCAGCUCUGUGGCCUGGCUGUGUGGGCUGGGCCAGGGCCUCUGCGUCACCUCCUUGCUGGGGGUGCAUACUUUGCAUUACAGCUGGGGAGGCUGAGACCCGGGGGGCCACAGCUGGUUCCUGGACUCCAAAGCCCAGGACCCUUCCAAAUCCUGCCUGGACGGCACCGUGGCCAGGACCCCAGCCAGCACUUCCCUUUUCUGCGAGGGUUUUCUGUUUCUUUGAUUAUAAAAUAACCCCUGUUGGUGGGGGGAAAAAAUUAGCAAAAUAAAGAAAAGCAAAAAAAAAAAAGAAAAUUAGAAUCUCCCGCAGUCUCACACCCUGUGGGCCUUUUGCGUAUUUCUUCCCGGGUGAGUUUUCUGGGCAUUAACAGAUGUUUGCUCUGCAGACCUGGCCUUGUGUCACCCUGGAACUCUGUGCCCAGCUCACCCUUCCGUGGCUUCCUGUGGCCGGGGGCUCCCUCCCCUUCCUGCCCCAGGUCUGAGGUGCCAACGGCUGCCUGUGGCCAGGGGCAUCUCCCCGUGGACACUGAGGGAGGAGCCGCGGCAGGGCUGGGCUCUCCCGCUGGGCUCCCUGCACCCUGCGGCCCCGGCCCCAGCCCCACCCCCAGCCAUGGGAAGGGUGCACUCCGGAGAGGCCGACGCAGAUGGGGCCCUGCCCCUGGCCUGAGCGUGGCCGUCAUCUGCUCAGGAGGGUUAAGCUCCUUUGUGCCCCAAGGAGCUUCAAGCCGAUCAAUACCCGGCUGGAAGUAGGGGGCUGCAGCUGGGGGGGCCCCACCGCCCUGACCCCAGAUGGACUUCCUGCUCCCUGCCCAGCUUCUCUGCGGGGGGAGGUCAGGUCAGUGGGCCUCCUGCUUGGCCUUUGGGGCCACCGCCCCUGGGCUCCAGCUGAGGCUGUCCCAGGGCCGGUCUCCCUUCCCGCCCCCACCCUACAGAGGCGGCCUCACCAGCCAGCCUCUGCCCCAGCAGAGUUAUUUUUAGCCCCAGCCCCGCCUGCUGCUACCACGGGCCUUUUCUCCGCAGAGAGAGGCGGGUGAGGCCUGAGGGCCUCACCCAGGGCAGCCAGUUCCCCAACCACGAAGGGAGGCAGGAGAGCUUCCCUGUGCGGGCAGGCGUCGCUGACCCUCCAAGGGGCAGAGCAGUGGGGGCUUCCUUCCUUCCUGGGUGUGGCUGGGGGGAGGGGGCUGAAGGCCUGGAGCCGGAGGGGCUUGCCCUAGAGCCCCAUAGCCAGGCAGGGGUCAGUGUCCACAGCUGGAGGGGCUGGAGAGGUGAGAGAGAUGGUCCCAAGGGAGCUGGGAGGCCCAGGAGUGGGCCCAGUGCUCAACCCGCUGCCAGGCAGGGACAAGACCUGAGAGAUGAGAGGGCGGCGGGGGUGACCCUCGGAGGGCAGAGGGCGCCAGGACGGAGAGAUGAACGGGGCAGUGGGGUGACCCAUGGAGACCCACAGAGAGCAGAGGGGCACCAGGAUGGGGAGACGGAGGCCAGUGGGGGCUGAGGGGUCCCGGGGGAGGACUGUAAGGAGCCACAUAGUGGCUGCGGUCGGCGUGGCUGGGAGACAGGGGUCCAGGAAGCCCACUGGAAGCUGCCGCCCCGGCUGUAGCUGCAGGGCUCUCUGUGGGAGCCGGGAGCUGGGUGCAGAGCUGCGUCGAGGCUGCCUGAGGCCUGGCAGCCCAGCAGGAGGGGACUUACCCCCACCCCCCCACGGAGGAGAAGGCUCUGGGGCCUGCUGGGUGCAGACGCAGCUGGGAUCUGCUUUGGGGAAGAAAACCUAGGCAGGUCACCGAGGCUCUGCCCAAGCCAACGCCUGUCACCUGUCACCGAGGUGUGGGUGUCUGUCCUCCUCCCAGCCGUCCAUCCCCCUCCCUCCUGGCCCCGCUCCAGCCCGCAGCCCCCAUGGGAGCCCGAGAGAGGACAGUCUCAGCAGGUGGCACAGACAGAUGCGGACUCCUCACUGCAGGUCACAAGGCAUGUUUUCAGAGACCAGCUGCGGUGAAGAUCAUCCAGCCCUUGGGCCCCUGAUCCGUUUGGAUACAGUUUCAAGCAUGAAUUUCUCCUUUGGUGGUUUGCUACAAAGAGAAGAGUUCUCAUGAUUUCUUUGGGGUGUUCAUCCUAUGAUUUUGGGGUGAGGAUUCGUGACAGAGACAAGCAACAGGAGUCCAGGAAGCCCUCGGGGGAGACGGGAAACAAGUCUUUUUGAAAAAACAGCUUUCUUUGAGACGUAGCUCACAUAUCAUAUGAUCCCUCCCCUUCCAGUGGACACGUCCAUGGCUUUCAGCGUGUUUAUAGAUGGGCAACAUCCCCACGGGCCCUUUUAGAACAUUCGCUUCACCUCAGAAAGAAACCCCACAGCUUUUAGCCAUCACCCUCCUCCCCAGGCCUAAGCAGUCCCUCAUCUGCUUCCGUCUCUGGGGACUUCCCUGUUCUGCGUUCUGUGUGACAUGUGGUUGUGUGUGAUUUAUGAUUGUGUGUAACAUGCGUUCCAUUUCAUCCAUGUGACAUGCGGUUGUGUGGGAGAUAUGAUUGUGUGUAACAUGCGUUCUGUAUGAUGUGCGGUUGUGUGUGAGAUACAGUUGUGUGUAACACACAUUCUGUAUGACGUGCAGUUAUGUGUAAGAUACGGUGUGUAACACAUGUUCCAUGUGACAUGUGGUUUGUGUGAUUUAUGAUUGUAACAUGCAUUCCAUGUGGUCCGUGUGACGUGGUUGUGUGUGAUACACCAUUGCAUGUAACGUGUUCCGUGUGAUGUGUGGUUGUGUGUGACACACCGUUGUGUGUAGCAUGUGUUCUGGCAGGCGGUCGUGUGUGGCUUCCUUCGCCGAGCACAGUGCUUUCACGAUGCCCCCGUGUUGGCGCGUGCCUGUGCCCCAUUCCUUUCUAUGCUGAAUGAUGCUCCCCAUGUGGGUGAACAUAUGGUGUUUGUCCAUCUGUCAGUCUGUGGACAUGUGAGCUGUCUCUGCCUUUUGGCUGCUGUGCACAAAGCUGCUGUGAGCUUUCCUGCAGUCUCUGUGUGGCUGUGUGUGUGUGUGGCUGUGUGUGUGGCUGUGUGUGUGUGGCUGUGUGUGUGUGUGUGGCUGUGUGUGUGGCUGUGUGUGUGUGUGUGGCUGUGUGUUUUUGCUUCUUUCAGGCUCACCCCUGGGGGUGGAGCCGCUGGGUCCUGUGGGUCAUGAUCAUGUGCGUCAUCUUCAGGAGGGUGCCAGGUUGUGCUCUGCAGUCCUAGGCAAGUGGAGGUGGUCCCGCUGCCAGCUUCAGCCUGAAGAGCAGGUGCUGAGUGAGGUGCUGAGCUUCCUGGUGUCCCUGCUGCACCCUGGUAGGCCAGCACCCCACCCACCAGAGCAGCUGUGGAGAGGACAGUGGGCAUGGUGGGGACUCCAAAUGGGACGCACACGGCCCCCAGGGGAGGCUCGGCUUGGGCACCCAGGCGGCCGGGGUAUCUCUAACCAGUGGCUGCCCAUGGGGUGAGUAGGGCCCUGCUGCCCCAUCAGAGCUUGUCCCACUGUGGCUGGCGAGGAGAUCAGCAAGGGCUUGAGGCCCAUUCUCGCAGCCUGUCCCCUGCCUGGGGUGGCCUGGCAUUCAGUGGUGGGGUCCCGGAAGCCCCGGUGCCGAGGCAGGUGUGCUCUGGCAGGCUUGAGCUGGGCCACCCUGGAGGCACCACUUGUCUUUGCGUUUCCCUCUCACCUGCUCCCUGGACAGGCCCUCUGCAUUUGAGGGCCUGUUUGUGUCCCCAGGGCAUCUCUGGAUGGGCAUGAGCACACAGGGACCCAGCACGUGGGUUCUGCACCAUCCAGCACUGUCCAUACAGGCCCUGGCAUGUCCUCCUGGCCUGUAAUUUUGUUCUGCAUGGCUUGGUUUUUGCACGAAGGGGAGCACAGUAUUCCUUUCUCAUCCUCCAAAAUGGAUUGCAAAUGUUCUGAGCUGUCACAUUGGCGAGAACGAAGCCCCUGCUAAUUGGCGCAUUUUCCUGCAACCACUCCAGGCUGAGUUCUAGAGGAAGCCUCUGCCUUUCUGUCUCACGUUGCGCACUUUCUCCCUGAAAUAUUUAAUGUGCUAAAUUCCAACUUCACACACAUCAGCUCUAAAGCCGACUAAUCAUUUAGCUUGAUUGUCGAACUGAAUUUGGCUCUGAGAUUUUAAAAUAAGAAAAAAAACUGUCAAGCUCUACGUAAGGCAGACACUAUGGCUGACUCUUCACAAGAAAAUAUCUUUCUUUCUUGAGGGAUUUGUGGCAGAGUCCAUCUUUAUGGAGAGUAGAAAUCGUUUUACCCACCAGGGCAGCAUAUAAAAUGUUAGGCAGAUGUUAAAUAUUGAUGUAGAAACUCAAAAUACUUUGUCUCUUUCCAGAAAUGAGCGUUUUGGUUUAAUUACUCUGAAUCUAAUGACUGUGGAAAAAACACAACACGUGUGCGUUCCGAACGGAAAACAUUUAGAUUAAGGAAGAAUUUCAGCUCCUCAAAACUGGGAAAGGAGCAUACUGGGCCUGUCCUGCAGUGGGGCUGCUUGCUGAUACUGACACGCAUGUGCGACUGGGUGCCCAUGCGUGUGCGUGCGUGUGCCGUGUGGAUGCCGUGUGCCCGUGCCUGCGCGUGCGUGUGCCGUGUGGGUGCCGUGUGCCCCUGCGUGCGCGUGCGUGUGCCGUGCGUGUGCCGUGUGGGUGCCGUGUGCGCGUGCGUGUGCCAUGUGGAUGCCAUGUGCCUUGCAUGUGCCGUGUGGAUGCCGCAUGCCCGUGCGUGUGCCAUGUGGAUGCCGUGUGCCCGUGUGUCCACGUGCGUGUGCCGUGUGGAUGCCGUGUGCCCGUGUGUGUGCCGUGUGGAUGCUGUGUGCCCGUGCGUGUGCCGUGUGGAUGCUGUGUGCCCAUGUGUGCCUUGCGUGUGCCAUGUGGAUGCUGUGUACCCGUGUGUGUGUGCAUGUGCCAUAUGGAUGCUGUGUGCCCAUGAGUGCUCAUGUGUGUGCCGUGUGGAUGCUGUGUACCCACGCGUGCGCGUGCUUGUGCCGUGUGGAUGCUGUGUACCCACGCGUGCGCGUGUGUGUGCCGUGUGGAUGCUGUGUACCCACGUGUGCGCGUGCGUGUGCCGUGUGGAUGCUGAAUUGCACUUUCAACGACGUGACCGUUCCUUCCUUGCAGGCCACCUCCGGAGGUGUUCACUGCCGGUGGCUGUACCUGGCCAUAGAUCUGGGGGCUGUGCUGCCCCAGGCAUCCCACCCUGUUCCAGGACACAGAGGCCAAUGCUGUUCCCCUGUUCCGGCAGGCGUGGGCUGCACGCCUGCUGGCAAGGGGCUCAGCUGGCCUGAGCCUGGGCCAGCUGUCCCUAGAGCAUCUGCUCCUGUGGGGAGGGGGCGUUUUGACAGCAUGGGGAUAAUUUUUUUCAUAAUUAAGAGUUUUUUUUUUAAGUGAAUAGACUUUAUUUUGUAGAGCAGUUUUUGGUUUACAGAGCAGGGAGCAGGUAGCACAGGGCAUUCCCUGAGCCCCCACCCACAGUGCCCUUAUGCCCGUCAUUUGCAUCGGCACUGGUGCCAGUCCAGGGCCUGUUAGGAACCAGGCCACACAGCAGGAGGUGAGAGGUGGGCAGGCAAAGCAUUACCACCUGAGCAUCACCUCCCGUCACAUCAGCGGCAGCAUUAGCUUCUCAUACGAGCAUGAAUCCUAUUGUGAACUGCCCAUGCCAGGGAGCUAGGCUCCGAGCUCCUCACGAGAAUCUAAUGCCUGAUGACCUGAGGUGGGCCAGUUUCAUCCCCAAUCAUCGCCCCCCCCAGCCUCUGGUCUAUAAGAAAAAUGUCUUUCAUAAAACUGGUCCCUGGUCCCUGGUGCCAAAAAGGUUGGGGACCACUGCUGCUGUUCCAUCAGUUUUGACAAAUGCACGAUGCCGUGUGUCCACCAUCACAGUAUCGUAUGGAAUCAUUUCACUGCCCUAGAAAUCCCUGCGCUCUACCAUUCAUGAUUUACUUGGACAAAAACACAUACGGCCACCAAGGAAAACAGCCAUAGUGAAGCAGAUGUCAAAAUAUCAACAAAGCAGAUGUGUGAGGGUGGCAGUGGCUGCAUUACACGUCGCACUGGAUAACAAAACCCAGCGUCCAGCAGCCCCUGAGUUUUAGAGGUGGAGGUGAGUGUGGACAAGUUUGAAAAACCUGCAACAACUGCAAAGUGAUACAAACACACCUGUGUUUUCUAUUUGAGAUAAAGCCCUGGGAUGGCUGGCGUUCCUCGUGGAAGGAAAUGCCAGAUUUCAGUCAGAGCUUAGUAAAAUAGAGAUGUUGCUUUUUCUCGUCCAAGUUCACAGACCCCAUGAAUGAAGCAUCCCUGCUCUAGGAAAGCACGGAAAGCUUGUGCAUCAGAGGGACAUAUGCCCACAGGGAUUGAAAAUGUGUUUUCAAAACAAGGUAUGUUGUUUGCAAAAUCUCCACCAUUACAAAUAGCCACGUAGGCUUCUGAUGGCUCUAUGUGCACAGCCAAUUCCGAGUGAAUUCAAUUAUUUCACAUUGACAGGAAACAGGUUAAUUAGGAGAAGUUGAUUAGGCUUUGCAAAAGGAGAUGUAAUUAAUGCCCAACCGCAUGCCAGGCACGACGGCUGCAUUUCAAUGUCUUCACAUGACUGAGAGAGUUACUGCCUGAGAGCUGGGAGACAGCAGGGGAGCAACCAGCAUGCCGGCGCCUGGGGUGUCCAGCAAGUGGCAGGGGGCGCUGCUGGCCCAAAAGGUUAGCUCAGGUGUGCCACGAUCCCCAUCAUCAUCAUCAUCACUAUCACCAUCAUCACACCAUCACUAUCACUGUCAUCACAAUCACCAUCAUCAUCACCACUAUCACUGUCAUCACUAUCAUCAUCACCAUCACUAUCACUGUGACCAUCACCAUCAUCACCAUCAUCAUCACACCAUCACUGUCACUGUCAUCACAAUCACCACCAUCAUCAUCAUCACUAUCACUGUCAUCAUUAUCAUCACCAUCACUAUCACUGUCACCAUCACCAUCAUCAUCAUCACACCAUCACUAAAAUGUCAUCGUCAUCACAUUCAUCAUCAUAUCACAAUCACUAUGAUCACCAUCACUGUCACCAUCAUCAUCAUCACAUUCAUCAUCACAUCACAAUCACCAUCAUCAUCACCAUCACUAUCACUGUCGUCAUCAUCAUCACAUUCAUCAUCAGAUCACAAUCACCAUCACUGUCACCAUCACAAUCAUCACCAUCACCAUCACAUUCAUCAUCACAUCACAAUCACCAUCAUCACCACCAUCACUCUCACUGUCAUCACAAUCACCAUCAUCAUCAUCACCAUCACUAUCACUGUCACCAUCACAAUCAUCAUCACCAUCACUAUCACUGUCAUCACUAUCAUCACCAUCACUAUCACCGUGACCAUCACCAUCAUCAUCAUCAUCACACCAUCACUAUAAAUGUCAUCGUCAUCACAUUCAUCAUCAGAUCACAAUCACUAUGUGACUGUCACCAUCACAGUGACUGUCACCAUCACCAUCACAAUCACCAUCAUCAUCACCAUCACUAUCACUGUCAUCACUAUCAUCAUCACCAUCACAGUCACUGUCACCAUCAUCACACCAUCACUAUCACUGUCAUCACCACCAUUAUCCCCAUCAUCUUCAUCUCAUCACCAUCACUCCACCUUCAUCACCUCAUCACCAUUACACCACCAUCACUGUCAUCACUGUCACCAUCACCAUCACCACCAUCAUCUUCAUCUCAUCUUCACCACCACCGUCUUCAUUAUCACCUCACACCACUGUCAUCACCUUUGUCAUUAUUGCUGUUGUCAUCACACUCCUCACAGCUUCCUCAUGCAUGCCUGUGUGCAAGGCUCUCUGGAAGGUGCUGGGCUGCUGAGGCAUGUUUCUGGAGGAACGGCUGCGGGCACCACACCACAAACAAGCCAUGUGGACCAGAUGUGGCCGGGACCUGGCCUGGCUCCUGUCUUGCAAGCCCCCUGCCUUGAGAAAUGGGGACUGUGUGGAUGAACACACGGGCUCGGUGGAGGGGAGAAUGCCGCCUUUGGAGAGGUAGGAGGGCUCCAAGCGGACUUCGAGGACAGGGAGCCUCAGCAGUGUGGCCCUGGCACUCUACCAGGCCUCAGGGUGUACCCUGGUGGGCUUCAGUCCAGGCCAGAGCAGCUGCGCAGUGUCCCUGCUCACUCCUCAUCCCCGGGCAUUCUCAGCUGUGCUCUCCCGCCCUUGCCCACUCAUCCCAUUUUCUGCCCCAAUUGUUUUGACUCCUUCCUCCAAGGACCACAGAUGUCCCCUUCCCUCUGCAUGGGUCCCAGAAUUUGGGGCCAGUCAGGCCUUAGCUCAGAGCAGGCACCCUGACCACCCAUCAAUCCCAGCAUGAGAUGCAGGAGGGAAGCAGAGCCAGAAGGCUGGGUGGCCUGUCCAGCGCUCCAGGGAAAGCCCAGCUCCAUCAGGCCAGGCUUCAAAUGUCAACCUGCAUCCAGCAGCUCAGCCUCUAAGUGUCCCCAACCCUUCCACAGUGGCCACUACCCACUCCACAAUGGAGCCUGGCUCCAGGCCGAGGGGCCAGUGGCAGCAGGGUGUGCUGGAGACCCCCCGUGAGAAGGACAGGGGUCAGCGGCCCUCCCCACCGUGACCUUUUAUAGUCCCCAUUCCAAGCCCAUCCUCCCUCCCUGAUGUCUGGGCCUCCCAGCACAGCCCCGUGCCCCACCAAGAGCCACAGAGGCAGCCCCCGUGCUCUGUCCCUGCAGCUUGGUAACCGUGGGGCAGCAUGGGCCCUCCCUCUGCACACCCAGCGCAUGCCUGGGUGCUCCCACCUGCCGGACCUGGCUGGCCUCCAUUCAAGUGGGGAGGCCCUGGGACCACACCCCAGAGUGCCUGGGAGGGCAGAGGUAGGCCUGCUGCCAACACAGGGCCUGGGAACGUGGUGCCUCAUCUGGCCCAGCCGGGGCCCAGAACAGCACCCUUCCUGGGAGAUCAGGCUCCAGUGUUGACCCCUUGCCCUGGCUCAUCGGCUCCUCCCGGCUGUGCCGGGAUUCCUGGCUCUUGGUCCCCAUCCACCCCUCCUCCCUGGCAAGCCAGGCUGCAGGCCCCACCUUCUCCCCAGCUCCUUCCUUCCUCCUGUGGCCCAUGCUGUCUCCAGGAGAGCAGGGGGCUCAGGAAGGGAUUCUGCCCGUGGGCACUGCUGACCUGGGCAGGCAGGGGCAGGGUGGGCUGCACUUCCUCCCAUCUCAGGACCUGGCAGGGGUGGCACAGCCCAGCUGCAGGGACUCUGGCGGGAGUGAGCUGCCCUGCCCCCACUGUGCCUCUCAGGGCCUGUCCCCCUCCCACCUGAGCCCUCCACUGGGCGUCUCUUCUGAAUCCAGUCCAUGCCCACUGGCUGCCUGUGCCCCAGGUUGGGCUUUGCGCUGGAGCUGCACCCCAGGCUCUGCAAAGCCACCAUGGUGACAGUGUUUCCAGGGAAACCACAGCAGGCUGCCAGGCAAGUGCAGGCGGAGGACACCCAGGUGGGAGGUGUGUGUCUGUGUGUGUGAGGGAGAGCAGGAAGGUGUGGCGCGUGUUCGUGGGUUGUGUGUCCAUGAGGUGGUGUGUAUGUGGGGGUACCCUUGAGAGCUUGUGUGUUUGUAGGUCAUUGUGGGGCACAUGCCUGAGGGUCCUGGGUGUGUGUGUCUGAGGCAGCUAAGUGUGUAUGUAUAUGUGCAUGUGUGAGCACAUGCGUGUCAGUGUGUGUGAGUGUGGGGGUCCAUGUGCAUCGGUGUGAUGUGUGCACAUGUGCCAGUGUGUGUGUUGGGAUGCAUGUUUGCAUGUGUGUGUCAGUCUGUGUUGGGGUGUCUGUGUCUAUGUGUGCAUGUGUUGGGGUAUCUAUGUAUCUGUGUAUGUGUGUGCGUGUGUGUAUAUGCUGAGGUGUUGUGUCUGUGUGCAUGUGUGUGCACACGUGUGUCAGUGUGUUGGGGUGUGUCUAUAUGUGCAUGUGUUGGGGUGUCUGUGUAUCUGCAUAUGUGUGCACACAUGUGUCUGCAUGUGCCUGUGUGGUGUCGUUGUGUCUCUCCGUGCAUGUGUGUGCACAUGUGUGUCAGCGUGUGUGCAUGUUGGGGUGUCACGUAUGUGUCCUGAGUGUGUUUCUGUGGGCCUGAGGGUCCCUGGUCUGGGGUUCACUCUGAGGCCUGGGGCACCAGCCCCUCAGAGGCACCAAGGACAGAAUCAUUCUCAGGGCCAGGCCGUGGGGCACAGCUGCCCCCUGUAGCCCCCAACGCCCCAUCUGUCCACACAGGCUCAGCAGCUCCCACCUGCCUAGCUCUGUGGCCCCAAGGGCCCCUCCCCGUAGGGUCUGAGUGGCCCAAGGCAGGGCAAAGUCUCACCUUGCCUGGAAAUCUGGGAGGCUCCAAGGACCCCGAGCCUGCACCUCAUUCAUUCAUUCAUUCAUUCUGCCAUCAGCUCCUGUGGAGCUCUUGUCUGAGUUCCAGGCCCCGGGCCAUGUGCCAGGCCCCAGGGAAUCAAGACAGUCCAGGACAGGCCCUGGAGCAUCUCCCCAGCUCUCUCAGUCUCCUGGUUCAUCACAGAGGCCAGUGCCUUUGUUGGAGUGAGCAGCUGUGAGGGGCAGUUUGGGCAUGAAAGAAGGAACCAGCCACUUUGGAGCAUCAGGGAGGACUUCCUGGAAGAAGCCAUCUCUAAGCUGAUCCUCAAAGAGCUGAGAGCAAGCUUGGCGGGCUGUCACUGGAGAAGGAGAAAUAUUCUGGAGAGGGAGUGCAGAGUGUGCACGUCCCGAUGCAGAGAGGGACGCAGCGGGGAGCUCCUCUCUGAGACAGGGUCCCACGCCAGGCAGUGUGAGAAGCAGGGGAGGCUGCAGGCCAUGGUGGUUGGCCAGAGUGAGUGCCCAGCAGGGAUAGCCUGGGGGGCCUGGCAGGGGCUGUCCCAGGCAGGUCUGCAGCAUGGACCACGGCAGAACCCCAGGAGGCUCCUCAGUGAUGCAGGGUGGGGACAGGCUGUGCAGGCCACGGGUGGGAUGGAGCAGGUGCAGUGGCCCACCAACCACCCAGACAGCAGGGGGCCCCUCCCGCCGUGCCACACACAGGUUAGGCCUGGGUGAGGGCGGUGUGGAGGACAGACCGAGUCAAGCCCAGGUAGUUACGGAGCGUGUUUAGUGCGCCCUCGCUUCGUGUUCACCCUGUAACGGCCCAGGCCCCAGGAGAAGCAGCCCCGGGGGCUCCCGCCCUGCAGGCCCAGGGGAGGGCACCCAGCAGGGAGGCUGGAUCAGGAGGGGCUCAGCUCCCACAGGUCUGGGCACCGCCAGCAGAGCCCCCAAAGGACCUGGAUGCCCUAGCCCCAAGGGCAGGGGAGCAGCCACCCGGCAACAGGGCUGGGACACUGUGAGGGGCCUGCAGUGCUGGAGGUGCAGAUACAGCACCCCCAGGGAUGCUCCGGGGCAGCCCUUUUAGGCAGCAGAUGUGGCCACCACCCUGUGCCCAGCAGAGGCUGCCAAGCCCACCCGCCCUUAGCAGGAAGGGGGUCAGGACCUGGCCUGAGUGAGAGGGACGAGGAGAGAAGAGAGCAGUCAAUGACUGGAACGGACCCAGUGGCCUUCGUCCCACCUGGCCAGCACUGGCCCCUCGCCUCCCCUCCCCACACCCCAUGACCCCAGGGACAGGCCUGAUGUGGACAGAGUCCCCGAGAGAUGCACAUUUACAAGUUUGAUCCAGUGGAUAGAUUUUCCUCUUUGCUAAUCGGAACACGUCUGCUGUGGCUGCCGUAAUAGGCAAAUGAAACAAUUAAAACGAGCAGAAUGCACCCAGUUAACAUUUCAAACAAGAACGCUUUUCCCUUUAAGCUAAUACUGGACUGAAGACAAAAAGGAUGUCAGCUUGAAGCUGAUGAGAAUGAGUAGCUUUGCAGCUCCCCUGAGGCAGGCCUGGAGCUGAGUGCAGGCGGCAGCCCCUGCCCUCAUCCCCCUCGGCCCUGUGCUGGCCACGUGGGCGACCACGGGCACCCUCCUUACACCUGGGAUGCAUUUGUCUGCAGGUGCCCGCCGGCCCCUCCCUUCAAGCCUCACGGAAUUGAAACAAGGGGCUGCAGGAAUCGAUUCUCCGGCCGAAAGACUUCUCCAGUAAGGGAGCUUCCCAGGCUCCGUUUCACAGGAGCACCGGCUGGGGGAGGACCGGGAGGGCCUUCAUUAUGCAGUCAUUACAGAGUCUCAUCAAGCGCUGAUUCCACCUGCUUGAGAAGCCGACUUUUUUUUUUUUUUUUUUUUUUUUUUUUUGAGACAGCGUCUUGCUCUGUUGCCCACGCUGGGGUGCAGUGGUGCGAUCUUGGCUCACUGCAACCUCCGCCUCCGAGGUUGAAGCCAUUCUCCUGCCUCAGCCUCCUGAGUUGCUGAGAUUACAGGCACGUGCCACCACACCCAGCUAAUUUUUUUUGUAUUUUUAGUAGAGAUAGGGUUUCACCAUGUUAGCCAAGAUGGUCUCGAACUCCUGGCCUCGUGAUCUGCCCGUCUCGGCCUCCCAAAGUGCUGGGAUUACAGGCGUGAAUCACCACGCCCAGCCCAGAAGCCAGCCUUUCUUUGGUUCUGGAAGCAACAGCAGAGCCAUGACUUUGGUGGUGGAGACUGGUCUUUGUUCAAAUAAAUGUCACCACCCUGGACACUAGGCCGGGCAUAACAGACCACAAAGCCAGGUGGUGGCUGACCUGCAAGACCGUAGCCUCAGAGCUGCAGCUUCUCCCAGGGAGGGGCGCCUGGCAGUGCCUGCAAGGACGGAGACCCCGGCAGUGUCUAGGUCCGUGUCCCAUGCUGAGGGUGCACUGGGUGACGUGGGAGGCGGGCCCUGGUCACAUGCAUGGGCCCUUGACCACAUGCAGCUCGGUUGGCCCCAGCUGACUGUCCCCAUCCUGGAGACCCGCGGCAGCCUGAGAAGGGCCUCGGUGGUCAUCCUCGUCUGUUCCUUCUGCUAAAACAAAAUACCUCAGAGGGGGCAAUUUGUAACCAGAAUUUCAUCGCUCAGUUCUGGAGGCUGGGACGUCCAGGACCGAGGCCCCAGCAGAUUCAGCGUCUGGUGAGGGCUGCUUUCUGCUCUCUGCUCCCAGGACGGCGGCUUCUUGCUGUGUCCUCACCCAGUGGCAGGGACGGGAGGGUGGGGAAGGGCAACCAGGACCCUCAAAACUCUUAUGAGGCUACUGGUCCCAUUCAUAUCCUCCUCAUCUCCCAAAGCCCACCAGUGAUGCCAUCGCCUUGGGGCUUAAGUUCUAACAAAUGAAUCUGGGGGUGACAUCAACAUUCAGACCAUAGCAGCAGCUGUGAUGGUUACUUUUGUGUCAGCUCGACCAGGCCACGGUCCCCAGCUAUUUGGUCAAACACCAGUGUAGACGUCGCUGUGAGGGUGUUUCUUGGAUGAGGUUAAUAUUUCAAUCAGGAGACUUUGGGUAGAGCAGAGUACUGACCAUAUUAUAGCCUCAUCCAGGCAGUCCAAGGCCUUAAGAGAAAAAGACAGUUGUCCCCGAGGAAGAGGAAGUCCCGCCUCCGGACGGCGGCCCCUGGAGGAAGAGGAAGUCCCGCCUCCGGACAGCUUCCAAACAUGAGCCGCAGCAGGAGUGUCCCUGGGUCUCCAGCGGCCCUCAGGUGUCAGAUGAGCAGCUGCCACAAACACAUAAGCCAAUUCUUUAAAAUAAAUCUCUCUUGCACGCUCUCCCUAUGUAUAUAUUUACAUUUUAUAUAUAUAUACACACACUACAUGUAUACUACAUAUACACACUAUGUAUACACAUACAUACACUGUGUAUAGAAUAUAUAGGUAUGCAAUAUGCACAGACCAUAUACACUAUGCACACUGUAUAUAAUCUCUAUAUAUGUAUACUAUAUAUACACUAUACAUACACUGUAUAUAUCUAUAUGCACACUAUAUUACACAAAUAUAUGCAUACUCUAUAUUAAUGUACACUAUAUGCACACUAUGUAUACAUAUGCUAUCUCUAUAAUAUAUACACAUUAUAUGUGUACAUACACUAUAUAUACUCUGUAUGCAUGCUACAUAUACACUAUACACACACAGUAUAGUCCAUAUGCAUACACUAUAUACACACACUAUAACUUUACACACACACACUAUAUAUACUCUAUAUGCACACACUGUAUAUAUGCUGUAUAUGUGUGUACUAUAUGCACACUCACACUAUGAAUAUUCUAUAUAUGUACACAAUAUCAAUAUAUACCCUAUAUGUACAUGGUAUAUGCCCUAUAUGUCCACGGUAUAUGUCCUAUAUGCACAUGGCAUAUGGCCUAUAUGUACACGGGAUAUACCCUAUAUGUACACAGCAUAUGCCCUAUAUGUAUGUGCUAUAUGUCCUACACGUACACUGUAUAUACUCUACAUGUACAUAGUAUAUACCCUAUAUGAUGUACAUGGUAUAUACCCUAUAUGUACAUUGUAGAUACCCAAUAUGUACAUGGUAUAUGACCUCUAUGUACACGGGAUAUACC
rnacentral:lncRNA from 1 species